GUAAUAUAUAAAAUAUAAAUAUUAUAUAUGUAUAUAUUUCCUUUGUCAGAUGCUGCCUCAGUUCUUAGGGGGAAACUGUAUGACCCACUGACACUGCUUUCAGAGAGUUCAUGGAUAUCUUCAGGCAUACCAACCAGAGAAAAAAAUACAAGUUCCUAUUCCACAGUUCAUCCUGAUUGUUUCCUUUCCAUGAACUUUUGUUAUUCCAAAUAUGCUUUCAGGAUUUAAACUCUCAAUUAAUGUGUUUUGUUCAUACAACAAAGCCUAUUUCUCCUCAUGUUCGUGGAAAUGAUUAGUGAGUGGAAAAUGGCUCAAAAUUAAUAAAGACAAUAUUAG
rnacentral:lncRNA from 12 species